UGCCAGACUCCUACGGGAGGCAGCAGUGGGGAAUAUUGCACAAUGGGGGAAACCCUGAUGCAGCAACGCCGCGUGAGUGAAGAAGUAUUUCGGUAUGUAGAGCUCUAUCAGCAGGGAAGAAGAUGACGGUACCUGAGUAAGAAGCCCCGGCUAACUACGUGCCAGCAGCCGCGGUAAUACGUAGGGGGCAAGCGUUAUCCGGAUUUACUGGGUGUAAAGGGAGCGUAGACGGUGAGACAAGUCUGAAGUGAAAGCCCGGGGCUCAACCCCGGGACUGCUCUUGGAACUGCGUGGCUAGAGUGCAGGAGGGGCAGGCGGAAUUCCUGGUGUAGCGGUGAAAUGCGUAGAUAUCAGGAGGAACACCGGUGGCGAAGGCGGCCUGCUGGACUGCAACUGACGUUGAGGCCCGAAAGCGUGGGGAGCAAACAGGAUUAGAUACCCUUGUA
rnacentral:rRNA from 1 species